GGAUUCCCCUAGUAACGGCGAGUGAAGAGGGAAUAGCCCAGCACCGAAGCCUGCGGCAGUUUUGCUGUUAGGCAAUGUGGUGUUUGGGUCGGCUCGUGGGAUUGCCACUCCAUUCGAAGUCCAGCAUUGAGUAUGGUUCCCUGGAAUUGGCCCAGAGAGGGUGAAAGGCCCGUACGAAUGGAGGUUCAGACAAGUGAGGCAGUUCACCAGGCCGGCCUUCGAGUCGGGUUGUUUGAGAAUGCAGCCCAAAGUGGGUGGUAAACUCCAUCCAAGGCUAAAUACAAGCACGAAUCCGAUAGCGAACAAGUACCGUGAGGGAAAGUUGAAAAGUACUUUGAAAAGAGAGUAAACAGUACGUGAAACCGCAUAGAGGUAAACGGGUGGCGUCAAGCUGUUAGCCCGAAGGAUUCAGUCGGCAAGUGUGUAGUGUAUGCGCCUGGCGCAUCUCUCAGUCAGAGUAAGCCCUAGCAGUCCACUGGAAGACGGUGGGCCUGGCCGUGGCAACGCGGUUAGGAUGUGUGUACCGGGUGGUAGCCGGAGCAUGCUGCUGGUCUAUGGACUGGACUUGUCGGUGCACUUCCUUCGUGGUGAACACCACGACCGAUGGAAUUGCCGGUCUGCUUUAGCCAAGUUGUUUGCGACUAGCUNUCGGGUUGGCCGCUUGCAAUCACAGGCAAUGCCGGUUACCGGCGUAGGCACGCCUCGGUGGGUCUACGUGUUAUCGUUAACCGCUUGUCAACGAGUCGGUGUUGGGUGGUUGCAUCUGCCCAGUUGCUGGCUUGGUGGGCUAUUGUGGUAUGAAUAACUGUGCAAGGCAUCGGAGUUUUCGGUCUCUAAUGCAAGCUGCGUCCAGGUGCAACUGGUCUCAAUGCUGCUGCGUGUCGGCCUGCCUGUCCUUGGGUCUGAUUGUCGUGUCGCCUGCACAAAGUGGGCCCGGCAGUGGUCUGAGGCGGGAUGGAGUUGUAUGCGUAGUGGCGUGCGUAGUUUGUGGUGGGCCUGAUAGUCUGUGGUGUAGUGGUAGACGAGCUACCCGACCCGUCUUGAAACACGGACCAAGGAGUUUAACAUGUAUGCAAGUCAUGGGGUGACAUUGUACGAAACCCAAAGGCGCAGUGAAAGUGAAGCCGCGCAAGCGGUGUGGUGAGAUCCUGUCGUUACUCGCACAUGCCAGUACUAGGCAUAGAGCGGCAGGCGCAUCACCGGCCCGUCCCAUGAUGUGGUCAGCGGAUGUUGGCAGUGGUUGUCUUUCGGGGCGGCUAUUGUCAUGCCGUGCGUCAU
rnacentral:rRNA from 1 species